rnacentral:rRNA from 1 species
GACGAACCGUCCGAACGUUAUUCGGAAUUACUGGGCUUAAAGGGUGCGUAGGCGGCCUUACAAGUCAGGUGUGAAAUCCCACGGCUCAACCGUGGAACUGCGCCUGAAACUGUAGGGCUUGAGGGAGAUAGGGGUGAGCGGAACUGAUGGUGGAGCGGUGAAAUGCGUUGAUAUCAUCAGGAACACCGGCGGCGAAGGCGGCUCACUGGGUCUCUACUGACGCUGAGGCACGAAAGCUAGGGGAGCGAACGGG